UGGGAAGAAAAAGAGAGCAACGACAAUAUCCAGGUAUCAAAUAUACAGAAAAAGCAAUUGAGUACAGAGUAAACAAGCACUGAUGAAAAAGAGUAAAUGAUUUGUAAAAACUGGAUUGGCUCCAGACAUAUUUCCCACAAAGGGUACAGAUAGGUUGGUGACAUGAAAUUUAUUUUCCUUUCAGCAUCCUUCUUGUUGAUAAGGAAAAUGUAUACAAAAGCAUACAGCCUGGAAAAGUUGCCUGCCAUUCUCCUAAUUUAAAUGAUGACAAGGUGUUGUCUCAAACAUGUUUUAGAAAGAUCUAUCUAAUCAAAAGUGACUUGAAUUUUUCAAACUUGCAAAAGCUUAACAGUAUCCAAGAGAAGCAAUUCUUUAGAAAAAGUAUUUGCUUCAAAGAGUCAUGAAAUAGGAUUAAAGUUUUAUAAACAUUACCAGCCAAUCUGACAUAAAUUGCUGGUAAAGAUGACUGAUCUCACCAUUCUAAGGGAUGAGAGUAGUCACAAGAUAAUGGCCACAACUCCUGUAUCAGAAGAAAACCAAUUUGAAACAUAUAGUCUUCUGAGUGAAAGUGACCAGGGAACAUCAAAGACACAGAAUUACUUCUCACAUCUUAUUAACUUGCCAAUUUUAGCACUGUUCCUUUGAUGCUUUGAGGAAGAGGUGAUUCAACAGAGCUCAAUGCAGAAAAAAAAAUAUUAAGAGCACUUCACAACUAGUCCCAAGCUAAAAAAAGAAACAAAUAUAUUGCUGCAAUCUUCUAACACUUUUCCAAUCAUUGUAUUCUGUUUUAAAAGACACCAUUGGUAAGGAAGACUAAGUCUUACUUGGAACCUUCUUAAGUUCAUUUAAAAGAACCAUGCAAUUUAGUUAGUGAUUCACUUCUAAAGUACGCCUCACUUUGCAUAAUAGAUGCAUUCCGGAAAAGGUGUUUGUCGAUCAGAUGGUCAUAGAUCUAAGAAUAUUUUGAAAACAAAUCAAGGAAAGUUGACAAUUAAAUGCAUCUAAUAUCAAACUUUUUUUUUUUUUUUUUUUGUGAAGUGAAUAUUUACCCCUAAUUUACAUACUAUAUAAAUAGUGUCAUAGACAAUACAGGGUUUGCUUUUAACAGAGCCCAGCUGCAUUCUAUAUUGUGGCCUGGGUGUCUUGAA
rnacentral:lncRNA from 1 species